rnacentral:rRNA from 1 species
CAGCAGCCGCGGUAAGACAGAGGAUGCAAGCGUUAUCCGGAAUGAUUGGGCGUAAAGCGUCUGUAGGUGGCUUUUCAAGUCCGCCGUGAAAUCCCAGGGCUCAACUCUGGACAGGUGGUGGAAACUACCAAGUUGGAGUACGGUAGGGGCAGAGGGAAUUUCUGGUGGAGCGGUGAAAUGCGUAGAGAUGUGGAGGAACACCAGUGGCGAAGGCGACUCUCUGGUCUGUAACUGACGCUGAGGAGCGAAAGCGUGGGGAGCGAACAGGAUUAGAUACCCGGGUAGUCCCUGUCUCUUAUAC